UACGGAGGGGGCUAGCGUUGUUCGGAAUUACUGGGCGUAAAGCGCACGUAGGCGGCUUUGCAAGUUAGAGGUGAAAGCCCGGGGCUCAACUCCGGAAUUGCCUUUAAAACUGCAUCGCUAGAAUUGUGGAGAGGUAAGUGGAAUUCCAGGUGUAGCGGUGAAAUGCGUAGAUAUCUGGAGGAACACCGGUGGCGAAGGCGGCAUCCUGGACCGGUAUUGACGCUGAGGCGCGAAAGCCAGGGGAGCAAACGGG
rnacentral:rRNA from 1 species